GUGAAGCUGGAUUCGCUAGUAAUCGCGCAUCAGCCAUGGCGCGGUGAAUACGUUCCCGGGCCUUGUACACACCGCCCGUCAAGCCAUGGGAGCCGGGAGUGCCUGAAGGCCGUGACCGCAAGGAGCGGCCUAAGGUAAAACUGGUGACUGGGGCUAAGUCGUAACAAGGUAUC
rnacentral:rRNA from 1 species